ACUACGGGAGGCAGCAGUGAGGAAUAUUGGUCAAUGGGCGGAAGCCUGAACCAGCCAAGUCGCGUGAGGGAUUAAGGCCCUGCGGGUCGUAAACCUCUUUUGCCGGGGAGCAGUGGUCCGGACGCGUCCGGACCGGGAGAGUACUCGGAGAAAAAGCAUCGGCUAAGCCCGUGCCAGCAGCCGCGGUAAUACGGAGGAUGCGAGCGUUACCCGGAUUUAUUGGGUUUAAAGGGUGCGUAGGCGGGCAUUUAAGCCGGCGGGAAAAGGGCGGGGCUCAACCCCGGCCUGCCGGCGAAACUGGGUGCCGUGAGUGGGCGAGAGGUAUGCGGAAUGCGUGGUGUAGCGGUGAAAUGCAUAGAUAUCACGCAGAACCCCGAUUGCGAAGGCAGCAUACCGGCGCCCUACUGACGCUGAGGCACGAAAGUGCGGGUAUCGAACAGGAUUAGAUACCCUUGUAGUC
rnacentral:rRNA from 1 species